GUAGGGUCCGAGCGUUGACCGGAAUUAUUGGGCGUAAAGAGCUCGUAGGCGGUUUGUCGCGUCUGCUGUGAAAUCCCGAGGCUCAACCUCGGGCCUGCAGUGGGUACGGGCAGACUGGAGUGCGGUAGGGGAGAAUGGAAUUCCUGGUGUAGCGGUGGAAUGCGCAGAUAUCAGGAGGAACACCGAUGGCGGAGGCAGUUCUCUGGGCCGUAACUGACGCUGAGGAGCGAAAGCGUGGGGAGCGAACAGGAUUAGAUACCCUGGUAGUCCACGCCGUAAACGUUGGGCGCUAGAUGUGGGGACCUUUCCACGGUUUCCGUGUCGUAGCUAACGCAUUAAGCGCCCCGCCUGGGGAGUACGGCCGCAAGGCUA
rnacentral:rRNA from 1 species